rnacentral:lncRNA from 1 species
CGAGUAUCUCCGACACGGUAACAGCUGCAGUGUACUAUUCUCAAUCAUGGUCGUACAUAAGGGCAAGGAAAAGGCGAAAGAAAUCAGUCGAAUGAGCAUCUCAGACACGGUAACAGCAACUGCAGUACACCAUUUGUCACCAACUGCAUUCUUCGUCGAAUUGCCUGUUUAAAUCAUGGCAAACUAUGGCGUCGUGCUGCAGUUGUGUGUUGCAUCGUUGAUGGCUGGGUCGGCCACUGGUGUACCGAUGUCUCCUGGGUAUGGCGGAUAAUAAAUUGCAACGCCGCCACCUUACUACACAAGAUACGGCUCGACCAGUUUCUACACCGAGGCCCCCAAGUACUGCACCAAGGCUCUAGAUUAUUAUCCUACUACUUAUGCUGCCCUGAGCUACUACACCGAAUCCCCACAGUAUUAUUCUUCCCCGAGCUACAAUACCAAAGGGUCGAUUACUACACCGAUACUCCGAAGUACCACACCACCAAGACACCGGAGAACUGCACAAUUACAUAUCAUGGAGAGAAAAGGCGAAAGAAAACCGUCGAGUGGUCAUCUUCGACACGGCAACAGUAACUGCAGUGCCAAGGCUCAGUAUUACACCACAAAUUAUGUUGCCCCGAGACUCUACCCCAAAGCGCCUGAGUGCUAUACCGAGGGCACUAAUUUCUACACCACCAAGGCACCGGAGUACUACACUGCAACAUACCCUGCUCCAGAUUAUUACAACGAGGCUCCCCAACACUACACCACCAAGGCACUGGAGUACUACACCACUACAUAUCAUGAGGAAAGGUGAAAGAAUUCAGCAGCCGAGUGAGCAUCUCCGUUACAGCAACAGGAACUACCGUGCAGUAUUUGUCAUCAACUUCAUCCUUCGUCGCAUUACAAGUUUUAAAUAAAGUAGACUUUGGCGUCGUGCUGCUGUUGGGCGUUAUAUCGUUGAUGGAUGGAUCGACCACUGGUGUGCUGAUUUCUCCUGGGUAUGGCGGGCGUGAAUAAUCCGUAGCAACCGGUUACUACACUGGGGCCCCCAAAUACUACACCACCAAGGCUCCAGAGUAUUACACCACAACUUAUGCUGCCCCAAUGUUACUACGCAGAUGCUCCGAAGUAUUCUUCUUCCUCGAGCUUCACUACCUUCACCACGCCGCUUACUAAUUAACAACGUCAACACCUACUUACUAUACGAAGGUCUCCAGUACUACGCCACAAAAGCUCCUGACUACUACACCGAGGACCUAACUUGUCACACCACUGAAGCGCCCAAGUAUUGCACUACAACCUACGUUUCUCCAGCUUACACCACGAAGGGAGCGGAGUACUACACCACGAAGGGAGCGGAGUACUACACCACGAAGGGAGCGGAGUACUACACCACGAAGGGAGCG